CAGCAGCCGCGGGAAUACGAAGGGUGCAAGCGUUACUCGGAAUUACUGGGCGUAAAGCGUGCGUAGGUGGUGGUUUAAGUCCGUUGUGAAAGCCUUGGGCUCAACCUGGGAAUUGCAGUGGAUACUGGGUCACUAGAGUGUGGUAGAGGAUAGUGGAAUUUCCGGUGUAGCAGUGAAAUGCGUAGAGAUCGGAAGGAACAUCUGUGGCGAAGGCGACUAUCUGGGCCAACACUGACACUGAGGCACGAAAGCGUGGGGAGCAAACAGGAUUAGAUACCCGUGUAGUCCCUGUCUCUAUACC
rnacentral:rRNA from 1 species